UGAAGCGGGAAAAGCUCAAAUUUAAAAUCUGGCGUCCUCCGGGCGUCCGAGUUGUAAUCUGGAGAAGCGUUUUCCGCGUCGGACCGUGUACAAGUCUUCUGGAACGGAGCGUCAUAGAGGGUGAGAAUCCCGUCUCUGACACGGACUACCGAUGCUUUUGUGAUGCGCUCUCGAAGAGUCGAGUUGUUUGGGAAUGCAGCUCAAAAUGGGUGGUAAAUUCCAUCUAAAGCUAAAUAUUGGCCAGAGACCGAUAGCGAACAAGUACCGUGAGGGAAAGAUGAAAAGCACUUUGGAAAGAGAGUUAAACAGUACGUGAAAUUGUUGAAAGGGAAACGCUUGAAGUCAGUCGCGUUGGCCGAGACUCAGCCUGGCUUGCCUGGUGUACUUCUCGGUUGACGGGUCAGCAUCAGUUUUGACCGUCGGAUAAAGGUUGGAGGAAUGUGGCAUCCCUCGGGAUGUGUUAUAGCCUCUGAUUCGCAUACGGCGAUUGGGACUGAGGAACUCAGCACGCCUUUAUGGUCGGGGUUCGCCCACGUAACGUGCUUAGGAUGCUGKCAUAAUGGCUUUAAGCGACCCGUCUUGAAACACGGACCAAGGAGUCUAACAUGCCCGCGAGUGUUUGGGUGUUAAACCCGAGCGCGUAAUGAAAGUGAAAGUUGAGAUCCCUGUCGUGGGGAGC
rnacentral:rRNA from 1 species